CUUCACCGACCCCAGCCACAGCGGCCGGCCCGGGGACCGGUCCCGCCCGUACGUCGCCAGCAGCGCCUGCGCCUC
rfam:Streptomyces rubellomurinus strain ATCC 31215 contig-222, whole genome shotgun sequence.